rnacentral:tRNA from 1 species
GGGGUGCAGCUCAGUGGUAGAGCGCUUGCCUAGCAGAUGUGAGAAACUGGGUUCGAUUCUCAGCACCACA